GAUGAAGAACGCAGCGAAAUGCGAUACGUAAUGUGAAUUGCAGAAUUCAGUGAAUCAUCGAGUCUUUGAACGCACAUUGCGCCCCCUGGUAUUCCGGGGGGCAUGCCUGUCCGAGCGUCAUUGCUGCCCUCAAGCACGGCUUGUGUGUUGGGCCUCCGUCCUCCUCCCGGGGGACGGGCCCGAAAGGCAGCGGCGGCACCGCGUCCGGUCCUCGAGCGUAUGGGGCUUCGUCACCCGCUCUUGUAGGCCCGGCCGGCGCUUGCCGACACAUCAAUCUUUUUUCCAGGUUGACCUCGGAUCAGGUAGGGAAACCCGCUGAACUUAAGCAUAUCAAUAAGCGGAGGA
rnacentral:misc_RNA from 1 species